GUGGACAGCGGCGAAAGGGAGAGUGACGCGUGGGUUAUCUGCCCUUGGGCCUGGGAUAGCGGCGGGAAACUGCCGGUAAUACCAGAUAAUGUCUCCGGACCAAAGGUGUGAUUCCGCCUGGGGAUGAGCCCGCGUCCUAUUAGCUUGUUGGUGGGGUAAUGGCCUACCAAGGCGAAGAUGGGUACCGGGUGUGAGAGCAUGGCCCGGCUCACUGGGACUGAGACACUGCCCAGACACCUACGGGUGGCUGCAGUCGAGAAUCUUCGGCAAUGGGCGAAAGCCUGACCGAGCGACGCCGCGUGCGGGAUGAAGGCUUUCGGGUUGUAAACCGCUGUCAGAGGGGCGGAAAUACAUGGGGGCUAUCCCCCAUGUUUGACCUAACCUCAGAGGAAGGACGGGCUAAGUUCGUGCCAGCAGCCGCGGUAAGACGAACCGUCCAAACGUUAUUCGGAAUUACUGGGCUUAAAGGGUGUGUAGGCGGUCCGAUAAGUUGGGUGUGAAAUCCCACGGCUCAACCGUGGAACUGCGCUCAAUACUGUCGGACUUGAGGGAGAUAGAGGUGAGCGGAACUAAU
rnacentral:rRNA from 1 species